GCCGCGUGAGGGACGACGGCCUUCGGGUUGUAAACCUCUUUUAGUAGGGAAGAAGCGAAAGUGACGGUACCUGCAGAAAAAGCACCGGCUAACUACGUGCCAGCAGCCGCGGUAAUACGUAGGGUGCAAGCGUUAUCCGGAAUUAUUGGGCGUAAAGAGCUCGUAGGCGGUUUGUCGCGUCUGCUGUGAAAACUGGGGGCUCAACCCCCAGCCUGCAGUGGGUACGGGCAGACUAGAGUGCGGUAGGGGAGAUUGGAAUUCCUGGUGUAGCGGUGGAAUGCGCAGAUAUCAGGAGGAACACCAAUGGCGAAGGCAGAUCUCUGGGCCGUUACUGACGCUGAGGAGCGAAAGCAUGGGGAGCGAACAGGAUUAGAUACCCUGGUAGUCCAUGCCGUAAACGUUGGGAACUAGAUGUAGGGACCAUUCCACGGUUUCUGUGUCGCAGCUAACGCAUUAAGUUCCCCGCCUGGGGAGUACGGCCGCAAGGCUAAAACUCAAAGGAAUUGACGGGGGCCCGCACAAGCGGCGGAGCAUGCGGAUUAAUUCGAUGCAACGCGAAGAACCUUACCAAGACUUGACAUAUACGAGAACGGGCUAGAAAUAGUUCACUCUUUGGACACUCGUAAACAGGUGGUGCAUGGUUGUCGUCAGCUCGUGUCGUGAGAUGUUGGGUUAAGUCCCGCAACGAGCGCAACCC
rnacentral:rRNA from 1 species